AAAAAUGUCUGACAGAAAGUGCCGGAAGCUCCGGAAGUAUCCUUUUCGUUGCGGUUGGAUGCAGAUAAACGGUAGAUUAUUGGCCGCUGUGUUAUGUAAGGAUGUCAAUAUGGAUCACGGAAGAUCCUAGCAACUUAUCGCGUCUGGCCAAACUACUGCGAUUCCAUUCCAACGUGCUGAUACCACAUUAACACCAGUCGUCCAACAGCAAGAGCUAAAAUCAGGAAUGCCCUGUUCGCCUUCGUCUUUGAACCUUGCAGUGCGCUACCGUUUCCAAUGCUUCGCUGGACCAACCAAAGGAACGCCUUAGCUUUGCUAACGCCCAUUAGAAGAUCCACGCCUCUAUAGAAAAUGUAUACCAAUUAUCAACAACCAGAAACCAACAUGGCUUGAGCAGGAACUAAUAACUAAUAAUUAUUAGUUCCUGGCUCGAGUAUGUUUGAAAUCGACUGCUCCACGACCACGAACAUAACAACAACGCCUCCUGUCCUACAGGCAAAUAUAUCUCAGAUUAACCAGGUACACAAGCAGAAAGAAAGUCUUUUAAAUAACGAUUGCUAAGACAAAAUAAUAUUGUGUUGUUUUACUUGCAAUGUUAAACUAACAGGAUAAUGUAUUUCAUUGAGUGUUGACACUUUUUAAUCCAGAGAACUCCGAGAUCCGGACUAACGAGUCAUUGGAUUAGCAAAGGCCGAAUAAGCGGGGGAUACUGUAUAUUGAAUCUAAUAAUAAAUCAGAAUUCGAAUGAAAUCCACAGUAUAUUUCUUUGUUUCACAAUCUAUUUUAUCAACAGGAAAAAUCCACAUUUCUUGUGAGAUGCAAAAAAAUUAUGUACAUCAUUACAAAAUAUCAUUACACUAUGUAAUGUCAAUUCAAUAUAUCAAAGUGUAAUAAUGUUUUGUGGAGAUGUGAAUAAUUCAUUUUUGCAUCUCACAAGAAAUGUGAAUCUGUUAAUACAAUAAAUUGUGAAACAUUAAAUCGUAUUGUAUUUCUAUUGUAAUACUGCAGUGAAAUUUAUAUAUAAUUCCUAUUGUACUACUAUGGUAAAACAAUAAAAAAAAUCAGGAAAAACAUUUAAAACACAUUGUUUUCUAUUAUUUGG